GAUUGAACGCUGGCGGCAGGCCUAACACAUGCAAGUCGAACGGUACCAUUUCUAGCUUGCUAGAAGAUGACGAGUGGCGGACGGGUGAGUAAUGCUUGGGAACUUGCCUUUGCGAGGGGGAUAACAGUUGGAAUCGACUGCUAAUACCGCAUAAUGUCUUCGGACCAAACGGGGCUUCGGCUCCGGCGCAAAGAGAGGCCCAAGUGAGAUUAGCUAGUUGGUAAGGUAACGGCUUACCAAGGCGACGAUCUCUAGCUGUUCUGAGAGGAAGAUCAGCCACACUGGGACUGAGACACGGCCCAGACUCCUACGGGAGGCAGCAGUGGGAAUAUUGCACAAUGGGGGAAACCCUGAUGCAGCAUGCCGCGUGUGUGAAGAAGGCCUUCGGGUUGUAAAGCACUUUCAGUUGUGAGGAAAAGUUAGUAGUUAAUACCUGCAAAGCCGUGACGUUAACAACAGAAGAAGCACCGGCUAACUCCGUGCCAGCAGCCGCGGUAAUACGGAGGGUGCGAGCGUUAAUCGGAAUUACUGGGCGUAAAGCGCACGCAGGCGGUUUGUUAAGCUAGAUGUGAAAGCCCCGGGCUCAACCUGGGAUGGUCAUUUAGAACUGGCAGACUAGAGUCUUGGAGAGGGGAGUGGAAUUCCAGGUGUAGCGGUGAAAUGCGUCGAUAUCUGGAGGAACAUCAGUGGCGAAGGCGACUCCCUGGCCAAAGACUGACGCUCAUGUGCGAAAGUGUGGGUAGCGAACAGGAUUAGAUACCCUGGGAGUCCACACCGUAAACGCUGUCUACUAGCUGUGUGUUGUCUCUAAGACGUGCGUAGCGAAGCUAACGCGCUAAGUAGACCGCCUGGGGAGUACGGCCGCAAGGUUAAAACUCAAAUGAAUUGACGGGGGCCCGCACAAGCGGUGGAGCAUGUG
rnacentral:rRNA from 1 species